GACGAACGUUGGCGGUGCGCUUUAUGCAUGCAAGUCGAGGGAGAAGCAGUCGUUCCGUAAGGUUCGACCGUGGAAACCGGCGAACGGGUGAGUAUCACGUGAGGAACCUGCCCCCUAGACCGGGAUAGCCCGAGGAAACUCGGAUUAAUACCGGAUAUUCUCAUUGGAUCGCAUGAUCCUUUGAGGAAACAGUCCGCUGCUAGGGGAUGGUCUCGCGGCCUAUCAGGUAGUUGGUGAGGUAACGGCCCACCAAGCCUAAGACGGGUAGCUGGUCUGAGAGGACGAUCAGCCACACUGGAACUGAGAUACGGUCCAG
rnacentral:rRNA from 1 species